UACAGAGGUCCCAAGCGUUGUUCGGAUUCACUGGGCGUAAAGGGUGCGUAGGUGGCCAGGUAAGUUUGGUGUGAAAGCUCGGAGCUUAACUCCGAAAAGUCAUUGAAUACUAUCUGGCUGAAGGGUCGGAGGGGAGACUGGAAUUCUCGGUGUAGCAGUGAAAUGCGUAGAUAUCGAGAGGAACACCAGUGGCGAAGGCGAGUCUCUGGACGACUCCUGACACUGAGGCAC
rnacentral:rRNA from 1 species